AACGUAGGGUGCGAGCGUUAUCCGGAUUUACUGGGCGUAAAGCGCGUGUAGGCGGUUGGGAAAGUUGGACGUGAAAGCUCCCGGCUUAACUGGGAGAGGGGGGUCAAUACUACCCGGCUGGAGGUUGGAAGAGGAGAGGGUAAUUCCCGGUGUAGUGGUGGGAUGCGGAGAUAUCGGGCGGAACACCAGUGGCGAAAGCGGCGCUCUGGAACGAUUCUGGCGCUGAGAUGCGAAUUGGUGGGGAGCAAUCGCG
rnacentral:rRNA from 1 species